rnacentral:rRNA from 1 species
AGGCAGUGGGCGGCCUUACACAUGCAAGUCGAGCGGAUGAGAAGAGCUUGCUCUUCGAUUCAGCGGCGGACGGGUGAGUAAUACCUAGGAAUCUGCCUGGUAGUGGGGGACAACGUUUCGAAAGGAACGCUAAUACCGCAUACGUCCUACGGGAGAAAGCAGGGGACCUUCGGGCCUUGCGCUAUCAGAUGAGCCUAGGUCGGAUUAGCUAGUUGGUGAGGUAAUGGCUCACCAAGGCUACGAUCCGUAACUGGUCUGAAAGGAUGAUCAGUCACACUGGAACUGAGACACGGUCCAGACUCCUACGGGAGGCAGCAGUGGGGAAUAUUGGACAAUGGGCGAAAGCCUGAUCCAGCCAUGCCGCGUGUGUGAAAAAGGCCUUCGGAUUGUAAAGCACUUUAAGUUGGGACGAAGGGCAGUAGCGAAUACCUUGCUGUUUG